rnacentral:rRNA from 1 species
GACGAACGCUGGCGGCGUGCUUAACACAUGCAAGUCGAACGGAAAGGCCCUGCUUUUGUGGGGUGCUCGAGUGGCGAACGGGUGAGUAACACGUGAGUAACCUGCCCUUGACUUUGGGAUAACUCCAGGAAACUGGGGCUAAUACCGGGUAGGAGCUCCUGCUGCAUGGUGGGGGUUGGAAAGUUUCGGCGGUUGGGGAUGGACUCGCGGCUUAUCAGCUUGUUGGUGGGGUAGUGGCUUACCAAGGCUUUGACGGGUAGCCGGCCUGAGAGGGUGACCGGCGACAUUGGGACUGAGAGACGGCCCAGACUCCUACGGGAGGCAGCAGUGGGGAAUAUUGCACAAUGGGCGGAAGCCUGAUGCAGCAACGCCGCGUGCGGGAUGACGGCCUUCGGGUUGUAAACCGCUUUCGCCUGUGACGAAGCGUGAGUGACGGUAAUGGGUAAAGAAGCACCGGCUAACUACGUG